GAACGCUGGCGGUAUGCUUUACACAUGCAAGUCGUACGAGAGUUUUUAACUCAAGUGGCGGACGGGUGAGUAACACGUAAGAAUUUGCCUUUAGGAGGGGGCCAACAACUGGAAACGGUUGCUAAUACCCCAUGUGCUUUCGAGUGAAAUGGAUUUAUCCGCCUAGAGAGAAGCUUGCGGCUGAUUAGCUUGUUGGUGAGGUAAUGGCUUACCAAGGCGACGAUCAGUAUCUGGUUUGAGAGGACGAUCAGACACACUGGAACUGAGACACGGUCCAGACUCCUACGGGAGGCAGCAGUGGGGAAUUUUCCGCAAUGGGCGAAAGCCUGACGGAGCAAUACCGCGUGAGGGAUGACGGCCUAUGGGUUGUAAACCUCUUUUUUCAGGGAGGAAUCAAUGACGUGUACCUGAAGAAUAAGCAUCGGCUAACUCCGUGCCAGCAGCCGCGGUAAGACGGAGGAUGCAAGUGUUAUCCGAAAUCACUGGGCGUAAAGCGUCUGUAGGUGGUCAAAUAAGUCAACUGUUAAAUCUUGAGGCUCAACCUCAAAAUCGCAGUCGAAACUAUUAGACUAGAGUAUAGUAGGGGUAAAGGGAAUUUCCAGUGGAGCGGUGAAAUGCGUAGAGAUUGGAAAGAACACCGAUGGCGAAGGCACUUUACUGGGCUAUUACUAACACUGAGAGACGAAAGCUAGGGUAGCAAAUGGGAUUAGAUACCCCAGUAGUCCUAGCCGUAAACAAUGGAUACUAGAUGUUGAACAGAUCGACCUGUGCAGUAUCAAAGCUAACGCGUUAAGUAUCCCGCCUGG
rnacentral:rRNA from 1 species